GGUUCUUUAGUUAGAUUAGGAGAAUUGUGCUACCUCUUUACUCGAGAUGGCCUCGAGGUUGGGUGGGCUGAAGGUUACUACUUCGAGAUGGUCUGGGCUGAACUUGUGCUCAUAGAUUAUAUAUCCCAGCAAGAAACUCGACACUGAGAAAAUUAGAAGAAAA